GUACACGCUGUGACUAGCAUAUCAAUAAGCGGAGGAAAAGAAACUAACAAGGAUUCCCCUAGUAACGGCGAGUGAAGCGGGAAGAGCUCAAAUUUGAAAUCUUAAAGGGUUUCCCUUUACGAAUUGUAGUUUAAAGAAGUGUUUUCUGUUGAGGUUUUGGUAAAAGUUCUUUGGAAUAGGACAUCAUAGAGGGUGAGAAUCCCGUAUUUGACCUUUACUUUCAACUUUGUGAUACACUUUCAAAGAGUCGGAUUGUUUGGGAAUGCAGUCCAAAAUGGGUGGUAAAUUUCAUCUAAAGCUAAAUAUUGGCGAGAGACCGAUAGCGAACAAGUACCGUGGGGGAAAGAUGAAAAGAACUUUGAAAAGAGAGUUAAACAGUACGUGAAAUUGUCAAAAGGGAAGCGUUUGACACCAGUGUUGUUUUUCUGAAAAUCAAUUAAAGAACUGUUUAUGCUAAGUUGUUUAGACUUUAUCAGCUAUCUGCUUAGUUUUGAGCUUUUCUUUAAUGCACUUUUCAGUUAACAAGUCAACAUCAAUUUCUUUUGCUGUAAAAAAAGCUUGAGGAAGGUGGCUUGAGAUUCGUCUUAAGUGUUUAUAGCCUCUUGCCUAUGCAGUCGGAGAGAUUGAGGUCUGCAGCGUAGAUCCUUCGGGGCUAAAUGCAUUUGUGCUAAGUUAUAGCAUUUUAUAGACAACUUGUUGACUAUGAUUUGUCUUGUAGCUUACUCGCUUAUGUUAUUUUACCUACGCUUAGGAUGUUGACGAGACUGUCGAUCUC
rnacentral:rRNA from 1 species